CUAGCCAUUUCAUCCUUUGCCACCCCCUCCUCCUUUUGCUUACACUCUUUCCCGGCAUCGGGGUCUUUUCCAACGUCCUGAUACCUGCCCUGAAAUAUAACUCCUCCCCAUCUUCUCUUCUGUGUGUGAAAUACAUCGAUAGCAUUGCUGAAAGUACUGAAAGCUUCACUUCAUUAACUCUCAUAAAUAAGGACAUGAGCAAACUCAAAACCCAUGACUGUCAUUUGAAAUUGGGUGCAAAACCCACCUUCAGCUGAAAUGCCUCCAUUAGCAUGGCACUGUUCCUGGAAUCAGGCAGAAGGACAGAGCAGUCCUCCAAAUGAGCUCACAGAUCAGAGGGAGCAGAGGCUGGAGAAAGGGUCACAUGGUGUUUCCAGGGGCAGGUUUCCUCUUUGGACACCAGGAUUUGGAGGGAUAGCCAUUACCAAUCAUGGGAGUGUGGCUGAUGAAAUUAAGGAAGACGUCUUUAAAUUCAAUUACACCCUCAGUGGAAAUGGUCUCACUAAUGCUUGCGGAGAGAAUUAUACCCAGUCCAUGAAGCCUAACAUUUCUAAACCCAAUUUUGCGAAUUAUUCUAAAGGUUAAUUCAAGAUCUCUCUUCCAAAUGGCAAGUUAAGGACAGCCAAUGGAAGGAAGGCGUCCUCGGACUGACUGAGGGGUUUAUCAGCCUGGAAGAGUUCAUUAGUUUUAAUUAGUGUAAUCACUAAUGUUGCAUUAACAGUUUAGUGAAGGAAAGUAAUUACUCACACAUCCACUGUAUAAGAUGGGAAGAUUAGAAUUCAUUUUCCAAAACGAUUAGCAUUUUGCCAAUUAAAAGAAUCCCUUCUCCCAGCCAGCGGCCCUGUGACCUCGCUCACCCUGAAGAUUGUGUGUGUAAAUGAAACAUAUUUUGCAUCAGGAGAAGGAGCAGGAAGAAAUGAAGGAUUAAGGCUGUGUUUAUUCUCAGCUCCUUCCCAGGGCACAGCAAGCGAGUGCAGGAGUCUCAGUGAGUUUAGGACGUAUUUGCAUAGUCAUUCACUCAGGAAUACACCGCUGGAGGCUUUGUUACCCUGCAGCAAUUAAACAGUGGGAAGGCCAGGGGAAGAUGAGGCCAGAAGGAAGGAAGGGGAGAGUCUGGCUGGAACGAUCAUGGCUCGAGUCCAGGGGUUGGACAAUUGCCAGGACUCCACUGUGGUCCCAUCUUGAGUGCACGCUCUACCGCUAGGCUUGGGGCAUCGCACUGCCCAAGGGGGCUCCCUAAAGCCCUUGGGCCCUCCUCCCAAUUGCCCCAAGUGCUGGGUGCCACCUCCGUGCCCACUCUUUGGCAGCAUGGUCCGAUGGUUCUCCCGCCCUGCUCCUCGCCAUCUCUGCCAGAUCCCCUAGCAACAGCCACUUGGAAUUUCUCAUUUCUUAAACAUCCCAUGUUCUUUCAGAUCCGGCUCCUUGGAACCUGCUACUCACAAACCUUUUGCCCGUUUUGUUAGAGCGUCACCCUUCCUGCUUCACCGAGGGUAGACAGCACUUCGCAUUGACCAGAACAGCUACUGCCCCCACUUUGCACGCUCAGAGCCCCUCCCGGCGUCCUGCAUCCUUGCACUGUGUUAUGUUAUACUAAUCACAGUGAACUGCUGAGACGGGAGCAGGGAUCAUACCCUGUUCAGUAUUCUCAGCCCUUGCCCAGGCGCUGCACGUGUCAGCUGGUGUAUACAUUUUCGUCAGAUGGCUUAAUGAUUGUGGACAGGUAUCAGCCCUCCCUACCUCCCCCUCAUCGGCCUUAUCAAAGCUCAGCCAAGGAAGCCCAGCGUGGUCGGAUCAAGGAACAUCACAGAGGAGGGAACCGAGACAUCUGCAUGCAGUAUGUGUCCAGCCGACAUGCCGUCACUCAGAGCGCCCCGGGGCCCAGCAGCUACGCCCCUCACCUCCCCGCGCACCACCACUGCCAG